rnacentral:snRNA from 1 species
CUUCUUCUGAUUGGUUACAUUUGA